AGAGUUUGAUCAUGGCUCAGAGCGAACGCUGGCGGCGUGCUUAACACAUGCAAGUCGAGUGCGCGUCUGUAGCAAUACAGAUGGCGCACGGCGCACGGGUGCGUAACACGUGGGUAAUCUGCCCUUCGAUGGGGAAUAACUCGCCGAAAGGCGAGCUAAUUCCGCAUAACAUUCCUUGAACCUCGGUUUGGGGACUCAAAGCCGUAAGGCGUCGGAGGAGGAACCCGCGCACGAUUAGCUAGUUGGUAGGGUAACGGCCUACCAAGGCUUUGAUCGUUAGCUGGUCUGAGAGGAUGGCCAGCCACACUGGAACUGAGACACGGUCCAGACUCCUACGGGAGGCAGCAGUGGGGAAUCUUGCACAAUGGGCGAAAGCCUGAUGCAGCGACGCCGCGUGGGGGAUGAAGCUUUUCGGAGUGUAAACCCCUUUUCGACCCGGACGAAUGCCCCGCAAGGGGACUGACGGUACGGGUAUAAGAAGCCCCGGCUAACUACGUGCCAGCAGCCGCGGUAAGACGUGGGGGGCCAGCGUUGCUCGGAAUUACUGGGUGUAAAGGGUUCGUAGGCGGUGUAGCAAGUCGGGAGUGAAAUCUCUGGGCUCAACCCAGAGACUGCUUCCGAAACUGCUGUGCUUGAGUGUGGGAGAGGCGCGUGGAAUUGCAGGUGUAGCGGUGAAAUGCGUAGAUAUCUGCAGGAACACCCGUGGCGAAAGCGGCGCGCUGGACCACUACUGACGCUGAGGAACGAAAGCUAGGGGAGCAAACAGGAUUAGAUACCCUAGUAGUCC
rnacentral:rRNA from 1 species